UCAUAAACAAGCUAAGUGCACGCGGUCGAAUUUGGAAUAAAAAUUUUUUGCUCAAAAUAUCAUGUGAAAAGUUUAAAUUUUUGUCAUUUAUCUACAAGACUUUAUUAAAAUGGGAAGGCUAAGUCGACACAGGAAAGUCAAGUCGUGUGAUCCGUUUUUUAAGGGACAAAAAGACGUCGAUAUAAGGUAUAAUAUAAAGCGUCUUAU
rnacentral:lncRNA from 1 species